GUNCUAUUUUUAAUACUUUGAAAUUGCUNUAUUAGGUGAAAAUACCUAUAUAUAAAAUAAAAGACGAGAAGACCCUAGAAAUUUUUUAUAAAGUAUAUAUUUAUACUACUAUUUUGUUGGGGCGACAGAAUAACAUGUAACUUAUUUUAACUUAUUGGAACUUUAUAUAAAGAAAAAUAAAAUUACUCUAGGGAUAACAGCAUAAUUAUAUAAUAGUUUGUGACCUCGAUGUUGGACUAAGGAAGAUUUUAUUCAGAAGAUAAAACAUCAUGUUCUGUUCGAACAAAUAACCCUUACAUGAUCUGAGUCGA
rnacentral:rRNA from 1 species